rnacentral:tRNA from 1 species
AGCUUUAUAGUCAAUAUAAUGAUAUUAGACUGCAAUUCUGAAGUAGUAGGUUACUAAAGCUU